UUUCCCAGUGGCAAAGAUUGUUUUUUUCCAUUUUAUUUUUUGUUUGUAAAGUGCUCACUUUGGGGAAAAAGUUAUCCAAUUAUGGUUGGAUACAAUCUCAAUCCCACUGACUUGGGUUUAGUGCAGGAUUAUGGAGAUAAGACUAUGAAAAUGCACAGUGCUGGGAGCUACAUGUGUAAAAAAUAUUUUAAGUGCUGUCACUAAGUUACUAUGCAUUUAUAAGCCAUUACUGUGAAGCCUGUUUACUGUAAUUGUAAUUCUGCUUGCACGCUGGAUAAAACAUUAACUGCACAGUAUUCCAAGAUUUAAUAUGGCUUGAUUGAUUCGCCAUCCAUCCAUAAAAUAAGAAAUUAUAUACAUACAAUCCAAGUACUAUAUCUAUGACAAAUUGAAGAUAAUGUUUUCCCUUAUACAUUUGAUAAAGACUGUAAAAUAUGGCAGGGAAAAAGAAAAAAGAACAACAGUAUAUUAAAUGUCCAUCAAUCUGCCGAGAUGAAGACAAUGAAACAUUCAAAUUGAUGUUUCCCUAUGAAAGUCUUACCCCAGGCCUGGAGAGGAAAGACAUACGAUAUUUGACAUCGGCAUCACCCAACGCCAACAAGCGCCUCUGCUCUGUGUAAGACAUGAUGUCAGAGAAGCUGUCUGCUGCUGUUAAGCCUCUCGACUUGUAUUGUUUCGCUUUUUGUUACAUGCAGAAAAAACAACUUGGGUUCCUCCUGAGCUGAAGAUGAUCUCUAACAGCAAAAGGGUAAGAGAUAUAAGAUUCAUCCUUAAACAGAGGCCAGCUCUGCGCCAGCUUGUGAGGUGAUCAAAGGAUGGCCAACAGGAAUCCAGUGGCACCGGGCUUGAGUCGUGCUGGCUGUACAAGCAAGGCACCUGAGAAAUGGGCGAACGGCGAGGGGCCCGGCCGUGCCCAUAAAACGCGCAGUUACAGUAAGCAGUGGAGCUAUUCACUCGCAACCUCAUUAACACAAAAGCCCUUGCCAGCCAUAGAGCAACCAAUCACAAGAGUCAUGUAUGGAAUGCAGCUUGCACAAAGUCAAACACCUCUGUCUUUUAAAAAAUGUUAUUGUGGCUAUGUUUUACUUUAAAGACCAGCAAGCAAUGAAAGGUGAGCAUGACAGAAACCAGAAAGCAGCAAGAAAAAACAGGAGCGGAGCCGUGUGCUGCUGUCAGCUCUGGCUCGAAGGAUGUCCCUCCUCAACCAUGCCUAGUUAACCCUAUAACGCCACAUGUAUCAUAUUUGAUACCAAUAUUUCUAAGAUCUCUACGUCAGUAAUAGGAAUACCCCUUUCCUCAAAAACCAGUUGUAUAUAAUACUAUACCUGUAUUCUGCCUCUAGUGGAUGACCUAUGUACUGCAGGUGGAAAACGUCUUUUUGAUUCUUAAAAAAAAAAAAAAAAAAAAAAAAAGACGGCUGCACGCAAGUUGUAGCCGGCAGGAUUUUCACGGGAUAAGAAGUCCUAUUUUUGGAGCAGUUACAGUAAUCGCAAUGUAGCGAAAAUUAAUAAUAUUUCAAAAUGAGCCUUUAUUAAUGUGAACUAAUUCGUAAUAACUUAAUAUAUCAUGAAAUAUUUUAUAGAAAAACGUGAUGAAAAUGUGUGUAUCAAAUAUGAUACUACGGGCAUGUAAAUGUAUUAUAUUUGUCAGUGCAUCGGGUGUUGUUUUAGUCGAUUUCUUGAUUAAAUUUGUACUGUUUAUACACCAAACAAUUAAUAUAUUACUCAAUUUAAGCUUGAUUAUUUCUUCUAGUAUUCAUUUUGAAAAUGUAACAUUUAUGCUAAUUGUGAAUAGUCAAUAUCCAUCCAUCCAUUUCCGAAACCGCUUAUCCGUCAGGGAGUCCAGAGCCUAACCCGGAAGCAAUAGGCACAAGGCAGGGAACAGCCCAGGAUGGGGGGCCAGCCCAUUGCAGGGCACACUCACACACCAUUCACUCACACACCAUUCACUCACACAUGCACACCUACGGGCAAUUUAGUAACUCCAAUUUGCCUCAGCAUGUUUUUGGACUGUGGAGAGAACUCAGAGGAAACCCCACGACAACAUGAGGAAGACAUGCAAACUCCGCACACACGUAACCCAGGCGGAGACUCGAACCUGGGUCCCAGAGAACCUAGACAACAGUGCUAACCACUGCAUCACCAUGUUGCCCAAAUAGUCAAUAUGUUUGUAAAUGUAACGCUGUAUUGUGUGUAGUAUUUUGAUUUACACAUUUAGAUGGCAAAAACGUACAGUGUAGAAGAUGUCUUGAAUAUACUAAUUGAUGGAAAUUCAAGUAACCUGGAGCAGUUAGGGGAGGAAGAUGAUGACAGAAGUGAAGAAAGGAGUCCCAAGAGAGUGGCUAAUGAAUAGUAGUGAUGAAGAUAUGAGAGAUGAAAGUGUAGCAGAAUCAGACACCAGUUCAGUCAAAACAAAGCAUGACAGAGCAGUCAAAGGGCAAAGUUAAAAAGAAAGAGUACAGGUGUGUACCAUUUGAACCUCCAAAUGUUGAGUUUGAUGGAUAUGUUGAGGAUGUCUCUAUAGAAAUUCAGAACGGACUCCUUGCAUGCAUUUUAAUCAGUUUAUUACUGAUUAAAUGAUUCAAGAGACUCUGCUGUGCCCCUUGAUGUGAGAAUGGAUGGUGUUGACCAUUUGCCAACAUGGGAAACAGAGCAGAGAUGCAGGCACUGCCCUGGAAGUCACUUCUCACAUGUCUACUGUGCAAAAUGCAAAGUGAACCUUUGUCUAAACAAAGACAGAAAUUAUUUUUUGGCCUUACAUGAAAAGUAAACAUGUAAAACAUGGUUAAGUGUGCCAAGUGUUUUCUAAAGGCACAGAAAAUAUAUCUUGUUGGUUGACAAUAUAUGAUCAGUACAUGACCAGAAAGUCCUGAUGUAUCAAAUAUGAUACAAAAAAAAUGAUAUAUCCAGGUCAUGUUUGAAUUUUUUUUUGUAUUGUUAAAAGCAUCCAAUAAACAGUUCAGUAUUUGAAAAUUUGAAUUUUCUGGCUAUAACUUAAUAAUUCAGGCUUUACAGGGUUAACCACUGCUGCCCCAUGCUAUCAAAUGGAACUCUGGAGGAUUACUAUAUAAUAUCUAUUUAGCAAAGAGUGUCGUGCCACAGCAACAGAAAUGGCUGGUCUCUCCAUCGGCACAGUUUGGAGAUUGCUCAUAAAUAAAGCUCAUACAUUUGAGACUGAUUCUGAUUGUCAGUUUUGGUGAAGCAGAAUGAAUUAGAUACAAAGUCACCCUGAACUCCCAUUCAGUUCAUGCCUGGCUGAAAGGAGAUGCUUGCCUUAUUUAUUUUUACAUGCUACAAUGGCUUCUGGUAAAAGACAUGGGUGUUAAGAAAGGACUUAUAAAUUGAAGACUAAUUUCACUUGAUUCACUAGCAGAUGAUGGCAAACUACUUCUGGGAGCAGAAGAUCAAGGGGCUUCAAAACAAGCGUGAAGUAAAUUUGAGCUUUAAUCACAUAAAAUUAUUGUUAAUAUGUAUUUUCCUCUCAUACUGCACCACCUCUUCUUCCCAGAGCAUGAAAUCCAGGCCUGAGUCCAGCCGAAGGGUUGGCUUUCAAUCACAGGCCAAAAGCAAUCAGCACCACACGAGUGAUGGAUUCAUCAGCCGCUACCAGCAAGGUGCUUCAAGCUUGAACCCAGAUGAAAUGGAGAGCAAGACGGCAGGUCUUUCCACAUCCCUGAGCGACAGCAUGCAGACGCUCCCUUCUUCUACAGGCAAGCCAGAGGUCUUCCUUUGAGAAUGUGCAUUUCUUCUGCCAAUUUAAACCUCCCACCCUGCACCCCGCAGCCUAACAAUACGAAAGGCAAACAGCAGCCUAAAGCACGUCAUCAGCAGAGCGGAAAACUUGGUAAAGAGUGAAUGACAGCCAUGCAAAUACACCCCCCCCCCCCAACACCACCACCACCACGCAUACAGAGAUCGCUCCUUGAGGCACCGAACAUGUGACUUACAUGUCUGAGAUCUGGACCCUGAGGCAAAGCACAACUUUGAAUGCGAGAACUCUUCAAACCCGUCACUAGCAGCUCCCACAAAGGAGGGGUAACGAAACAACACCGACUUUUAACACGGAGGAACAGCGGGGUGGAUUUCCACGCUGCAAAUCAACUCCAAGGGCCCUCAGCGUAUGCCAGGCACUGCUCCCCUCACCAAUCUCGCGACGCUGCCAAUGUCAGAAAAGGAGAUCGGAGACAGACGGGAGGAGCGAAGGAGUUCACGUUUCUCUCGCUGCUUAAUGGGAGUCUCCUUAGGAUGCUGACGUGUUUGAAACAGAGCAGUUCUCCCUCUGGAGCACCAUCAACAGAGGUCAGGGCCCUUGCCUUUGAACUGGGUAUGAUAUGAUGGCGAUAACGCCAUUAAUAAACACAAAGAGAUAUCAUGCUGUGUGGCCGGUGGGUUCACUGAUGGGUGCUAUUCUGAAAACAGAGUCAUUCUGACCUGGAGAUGCUGUUCGAUGGAUUUAUUAUUGACUACGGGGAAUUUAUUAAACUUCCUGAGAUAUUAAAUAAGAGAUUAGGCUCACAAAUGAAAAAAACUACAGAGCGGAGCGGGCACAGUGGCGGUUCGGGCAUGGAGGCGGCUCGGGUAUGGAGGCGGCUCGGGCGCAGGCUGAUAUGCGCAGUAGUUUGGGAAGGUUCACUCAAACUGAUCUCCUCUAAUAGCAACAACCCAAUUCAAGAAGUGGUACCAAGCAUUAUUUACACGCUUCCUGCCUGCCUGAUACAUUUUCAUCUAUUUCCAUGCUUGACAAGCUCUCAACGUGGAAGAGACAAGUGGAAAAUGUAGAUGUCUCAAGUUAAACACAAAUAGCAAUAUAACAAUGUAUAUCCUGGGGUGUCUUCCGUCUAGAGAAGACCCAAUGAUGUAACACACAACACACAUGCACGCACACGCGAUUGUAUUCAUAUCUUUGUGGGGACCAUCCAUUCAUUUCAAUGGGAAAAACCCUAAUCGCAACAAUGACAACCUUUGGCCUACCCAGCCCUAACCUUAUCCAUAAGUUAAGUUUUUGAUUGAAGUCACAGAUUUUAUAUAACUGAGUUUCCACUUGUGGGGACAUGUGUGGGAAUAAUGGUUCCAGAACGUCAAAAUAACAGCUUUUUAUUACAUUGUAGGGACAUUUAGUCCCCACAGUGUAAUAUAUACAUAAACCACACACACACACACAUGCACACACUGCUUCCUCUGGUUGACCGAGAUGACAAGACGAAACGUUGCUUUACAUAAAAACACUACUGGGAGCAUCAAAAGAAUGUAAGCAAGUAUGUUUUCCAUCUUGGCGUCUUCAACCACCACUGACAAGCAUCGGCCAACUACAGCACAGUGGCGAGUCAAAUGAAAGCCAGUGAAACGUGUGUGAACAUCACUCAUUCUCACUUCAGACUAACACAGACUGCCAGUUAUGAGAAGCACGAUAAUCACACUGCAUUAUGAACAACAGAUGUUGCCAUUGUUGAAAAUGAGGGGAAAAAAACUCGUACAAAGUGAAACAGUCCAAACAACACUUUAACCCAGUGAAACAGGUAAGCCACUUAAAUGGUUUAAACAGACAUGAUUGUAAUUUUAGAUUAACACAGAGGUGUCAAAUCACACACACAUACAC